CCCGACAUCGCUGCCUCUCCUGCACCUGACGGUGGGAUAAUGCCUCACCCAAUAAAUGUAGACGUGGUCGGCUCCAUCUGUGAUUUCUAAACAGCCAGAGGGAGCAAGAUGGAAUGGUCGCAGUGGUUCCCAACCCUGGUCCUCAGGUGUUGCACAUGCCUAAUAUGGAUGCUUAUUUAUGGUCAGAAGAGGGACCAGGACAACACCAGGCAAACCGGCUGUGCAGUCAUUCAUACCAAAACUACUGCCUAACUUACUGCACAUGAUGGGAAACACCAAGCACCCUCCCUCCCCCACCACCCCUCUGUGUUGGUCUAUACAAGAUGGAUGGCUGCACGUUCAGACACACAACUCCAUCGGAGCAGCUUUAAUUGGACAUUUAAGACACGUGUCAAUGCAAUCAGUUUUUAAGGAAUAUGAUGAUUAAUUUGCGGRCGGAUCAACGUGAGGCUGUCUGCAGCUGGCUCUGUGCACGGCCUUGUGGUUCUGCUCUGCAGCCCAUCCAUCCCUGCUGCAGCUGCAACACAAGCACAGCCUCCUCUUCAGAAUCGCAGGACUGCAAAACAUCACCCACAAUCCCCUCCCUCUCGCUCUGUCUCCCAUUCCCUUCCACAUAAGUUGCCCGUUAUGUGACAAAUCUACACCCACACCAAGCCUGGGUGACCCGAUCGCAGCGGUUCAAAAUGUGUUAUUUAGUCAAGCUCCYCAGUUUCCCCUCCCGAGGUGAAUUCAGCCCACAGAGGAGUGCCAAAAUAGGUGACAAGCAAGCAAGGCGGGUGCACCAGUUGGGAAAAUAGAGAAGAAAAUAAAU